rnacentral:rRNA from 1 species
AUUGAACGCUGGCGGCAGGCCUAACACAUGCAAGUCGAACGGUAACAGGAAGAAGCUUGCUUCUUUGCUGACGAGUGGCGGACGGGUGAGUAAUGUCUGGGAAACUGCCUGAUGGAGGGGGAUAACUACUGGAAACGGUAGCUAAUACCGCAUAACGUCGCAAGACCAAAGAGGGGGACCUUCGGGCCUCUUGCGAUCGGAACGGCCCAGAAGGGAUUAGCUAGUUGGUGGGGUAACGGCUCACCAAGGCGACGAUCCCUAGCUGGUCUGAGAGGAUGACCAGCCACACUGGAACUGAGACACGGUCCAGACUCCUACGGGAGGCAGCAGUGGGGAAUAUUGCACAAUGGGCGCAAGCCUGAUGCAGCCAUGCCGCGUGUAUGAAGAAGGCCUUCGGGUUGUAAAGUACUUUCAGCGGGGAGGAAGGGAGUAAAGUUAAUACCUUUGCUCAUUGACGUUACCCGCAGAAGAAGCACCGGCUAACUCCGUGCCAGCCGCCGCCGUAA